GGCGGAAUAGCUCAGUUGGCUAGAGCAAUCGGUUCAUACCCGAUAGGUCGUAGGUUCAAGUCCGACUUCCGCUA
rnacentral:tRNA from 1 species